GCUUUGCGCAUUGCCAUGGUGCAAACUUUUCAAUUUCGUUCAAGGAUGUUGGUCUGCGCAUCCAUUCCACAAUCUGGUGACUCGUGACGAAAAAGACAUCAUCCAAUUGAAGAAAAAUCCUUACCCUCAAAAUAUGCCAUUUAGUAUGACUUUUAAAAGCAGAAUUAAUAAUGAACAUAAUAGUACGUUGUAUAUAAAUAUAUGAUAUUAAACUUGUUUAUAUAGAUAAUACAUGCUAUUGAUUUUAACAA
rnacentral:lncRNA from 13 species